rnacentral:rRNA from 1 species
GACGAACGCUGGCGGCGUGCCUAAUACAUGCAAGUAGGACGCAGUUGCGAACGGGUGAGUACCGCGUCGGUAACUGCCUAUUAGAGGGGGAUAACUAUUGGAACCGAUAGCUAAUACCGCAUACUAGUGACUGAACCUGCGUUGUAUUCGCUAGUAGGUAGGGUAAUGGCCUACCUAGGCGACGCUACAUAGCCGACCUGAGAGGGUGAUCGGCCACACUGGGAUUGAGACACGGCACAGACUCCUACGGGAGGCAGCAGUAGGGAAGCGUCGGCAAUGGGGGGAACCCUGACCGAGCAACGCCGCGUGAGUGAAGAAGGUUUUCGGAUCGUAAAGCUCUGUUGUUAAGGAAGCGGUACUUAACCAGAAAGGGACGGCUAACUACGUGCCAGCAGCCGCGGUAAUUC